GGGUCAGUAGGUUGGUCGUGCCACCGGUACGUACUGGUCUCACUGAUUCCUCCUUCCUGAAGAACCGUAAUGCCAUUAAUUUGGUGUUGCGGGGAAGCAGGACUGUUACUUUGAAAAAAUUAGAGUGUUUAAAGCAAGCUAACGCUUGAAUACAUUAGCAUGGAAUAAUGAAAUAGGACGAUCGAUCCUAUUUUGUUGGUUUCCAGGAUUGACGUA
rnacentral:rRNA from 1 species